UGGGGAAUCUUGCGCAAUGGGGGAAACCCUGACGCAGCGACGCCGCGUGCGGGAUGAAGGCCUUCGGGUUGUAAACCGCUUUCAGCAGGGACGAGGCCUUAUGGUGACGGUACCUGCAGAAGAAGCUCCGGCUAAAUACGUGCCAGCAGCCGCGGUAAUACGUAUGGAGCAAGCGUUAUCCGGAUUCAUUGGGCGUAAAGCGCUCGUAGGCGGUCUGUUAGGUCGGCAAGUUAAAUCCGGGGGCUCAACCCCCGUCCGCUUCCGAUACCGGCAGACUUGAGUUUGGGAGGGGAAGGUGGAAUUCCUAGUGUAGCGGUGGAAUGCGCAGAUAUUAGGAAGAACACCGGUGGCGAAGGCGGCCUUCUGGGCCAUAACUGACGCUGAGGAGCGAAAGCUAGGGGAGCGAACAGG
rnacentral:rRNA from 1 species